AACGCAGGUGGUUUGGUAAGUCAGGGGUGAAAGUCCACAGCUUAACUGUGGCACUGCCUUUGAUACUACCUUUCUUGAGUGCAUGAGGGGGAAGCGGAAUUCCGAGUGUAGAGGUGAAAUUCGUAGAUAUUCGGAGGAACACCGGUGGCGAAGGCGGCUUCCUGGCAUGUAACUGACACUCAUGUUCGAAAGCGUGGGGAGCAAACAGGAUUAGAUACCCUGGUAGUCCACGCCCUAACGAUGGGCACUAGGUGUGGGAGGUAUCGACCCCUUCCGUGCCGCAGCUAACGCAUUAAGUGCCCCGCCUGGGGAGUACGGCCGCAAGGUUGAA
rnacentral:rRNA from 1 species